rnacentral:tRNA from 1 species
AGCACGGUGGCUCAGUGGUUAGCACCGUUGCCUCACAGCAAGAAGGUCCUCGGUUUGAAUCCCGGCCGUCCCA